GUUAGAGAAUCAAAUAGCUCAACAGGCUAGCUCUUCAAAUAGUAAAGCUUUUGCGAAGCUUCCUAGCCAACUUGAGAAUCCAAGGGAGCAGUGCAAUGCUGUUACUUUAAGAAGUGGAAAGGUAAUGGGGGAAGAACACGAAAUUGAAGUAAAGUUGAAAGAAAAGAAAGAUGAGUGUGAGAGUGAAUCCACUUCAACUAAAGCUAAAGCUAGUAAGGAAGCAAAUGAAGAGAAAGAAGAUAAAAAGAAAAUAGAAGAGAAAUAUGUGCCUCCUGCACCGUACAAGCCACCAUUGCCCUUUCCUCAGAGGUUUCAUAAAGCACAAUUAGAUAAGCAGUUUGGGAAAUUCCUUGAAGUUUUGGAGAAGUUGUAUAUCAACAUUCCAUUCACCGAUGUCAUUUCUCAAAUGCCUUCUUAUGCUAAGUUUUUGAGAGAGAUUUUAUCAAAUAAAAGAAGGUUGGAAGAUUAUGAAACUGUUGCACUUACUGAGAAGUGCAGUGCUUUAUUGCAGAACAAGCUCCCACCAAAGCUGAAAGAUCCUGGAAGUUUUUCCAUACCAUGUCACAUUGGAGAAACAAGUAUUGAGAGAGCAUUAUGUGACUUGAGGGCUAGUGUUAGCUUGAUGCCACUUUCCAUAUGUGAGAAGUUAAAGGUUGGAGAUCUAAAGCCCACAACUAUUUCUUUGCAGUUAGCUGACAGAUCUAUAAAGUAUCUAGUUGGGAUUUUAGAGAAUGUGCCAUUAAAAGUUGGAAAGUUUUUCAUUCGAAAGUUUUUCAUUCUAGUGGAUUUUAUUGUACUAGAGAUGGAGGAGGAUGUAAGAACGCCCAUCAUACUUGGAAGGCCAUUUUUAGCCACUGCAGGAGCUAGUAUAGAUGUAAAGAAUGGGAAAUUGAAGUUGACAGUGGGGGAGGAGGAAAUAGAGUUUAAUUUAUUCCAACAUUCUAAGGAACCAGCUGUGAUGAAUUCUUGUUAUAAGGUAGAUGUUAUAGAGCAUGAUGC
rnacentral:misc_RNA from 1 species